UAAUUUACUAAUUUAAGGGUAUCAUUUAAGCUAUCACCAAUUUAAUUAGUUUUGUGUUUCUUAAAUAAUAGGGUUUGUCCUCAAAAUAGUAGAUCUGUCACCAAAAUGUAGUCACCAAACAAUGCAAAAUCAGUUCCACAAUAAAUCACCUAAAAUCCUGAGAUAUAAGGUCUAGUACCAAAUAAA